rnacentral:lncRNA from 1 species
ACGGUUGUAAUGACUGAAAUCACCCAAAUUUGAGAAAGCAGAUGGGAUGCGGUCAUAAUGAACGAAAUCAUCUAAAACUGAGAAAGAAGACAAGACACGAUCGCAAUGAUCGAAAUCACCUAAAACUAAAAGAAAGACGAGACGUGGUCGUAAUGACCAAAAUAACCAAAAACAGAAGGAAGGACAAUGCGUGGUUGUAAUGACCGAAAUCACUAAAACAUAAGGAAAGACAGGAUGUGCUCGUAAUGAAGAAAUCACCAA